rnacentral:rRNA from 1 species
AACGAACGCUGGCGGCAUGCCUAACACAUGCAAGUCGAACGAAGGCUUCGGUCUUAGUGGCGCACGGGUGAGUAACGCGUGGGAAACUGCCUCUUGGUGGGGAAUAACGACGGGAAACUGUCGCUAAUACCGCAUAAGCCCUUCGGGGGAAAGAUUUAUCGCCGAUAGAUGUGCCCGCGUCCGAUUAGCUAGUUGGUGAGGUAAUGGCCCACCAAGGGGACGAUCGGUAGCUGGUCUGAGAGGAUGAACAGCCACACUGGGACUGAGACACGGGCCAGACUCCUACGGGAGGCAGCAGUGGGGAAUAUUGGACAAUGGGCGAAAUCCUGAUCCAGCAAUGCCGCGUGAGUGAUGAAGGCCUUAGGGUUGUAAAGCUCUUUCGGGUGGGACGAUGAUGACGGUACCACCAGAAGAAGCCCCGGCUAACUUCGUGCCAGCCGCCGCCGUAA